GGUAUAAUGGAGAUAAUAUAGUGGACAGAAUUCUGCACUUGGAGGCAGAAUAAUUUGGUUCAAAUCUUGCCUUAGACACUUACUGAAUGUGCAAUCUUGGGAAAGUGAUUUAACCUCUCUGAGCUGAGGCUUCAAACCCAAUGCUUAGAAUUCACAAUUUCACUAUCUGAUUUCAUUCAACAUGAGCACAUGUACUUCUGUGUGCACACAGGUGUAAUAAUCAUAUUACAGCAAACUGGAAAUGUUUCUGUUUAUGUCUUCACAGGUGUAAGACGAGUUAGCCACCAGAAAGUUCUCUGCUGCCAGAAUGCUCCACACUAUGCACUCAAGAGUUUGAAAGGGAGAAAUCCAAAAAUGGGACCACGCCACAAAUUUUGUAAAGGCAGAGUCAGUCGUCUUUGUAAGAGGAUCCCUGGGGCACUUCCUCAGAUAUAACCCACCAGAACUGGAGACCACAGAAGAAGGCAAAGACCAAGGGACCUUCUCUGACCUCCAAGUUAACAAUGCUGCUCUUUGGUUUCAAGCUGAAGCCCCUCACCCUUCAAAGGAGAUUCAUCCCUCUCCAAGCUGCAUCAUGCUGACAAAGAUCAUUCUUGGAUGAACUCCUGCACCUAACUCACAAAGGCCACCCAUUCAGUCAUUGACUCUCAAUCACCCUUUGGCCAGUUGUGUUUGUCCUGCCUAGGGAAAGCUUGAGACUGGAAGCUUCUAUAGCUGUCUGUGCCAAGGAUACACAGAUUAUAGUAUCUCUGUCCCUCUCUGGCAUUGUUACUUAACUGAUCCUGACCUCUUGUUCUUUAUACUUUAAGUUUGUCAUACAUGUAACUAAUGAAUAAAUUGCAGGUUUGAAACGCCUGUGUAGUUCCU
rnacentral:lncRNA from 1 species